rnacentral:rRNA from 1 species
CCUAUGGGGGGCAGCAGUGGGGAAUAUUGGGCAAUGGGCGCAAGCCUGACCCAGCAACGCCGCGUGAAGGAAGACGGCUUUCGGGUUGUAAACUUCUUUUCUCCGGGACGCAGCAAGUGACGGUACCUGAGGAAUAAGCCACGCCUAACAACGUGCCAGCAGCCGCGGUAAUACGGAGGUGGCAAGCGUUAUCCGGAUUUACUGGGUGUAAAGGGCGCGUAGGCGGGAAAGCAAGUCAGAUGUGAAAACCAUGGGCUCAACCUGUGGCCUGCAUUUGAAACUGUUUUUCUUGAGUACUGGAGAGGCAGGCGGAAUUCGUAGUGUAGCGGUGAAAUGCGUAGAUAUUACGAAGAACCCCGGUUGCGAAGGCAGUCUGCUGGACAGCAACUGACGCUGAGGCGCGAAAGCGUGGGGAGCAAACAGGAUUAGAUACCCGGGUAGUC